rnacentral:lncRNA from 1 species
CGGUGCCACCCCAAUAAAGUCCCAGCGCCGGUGACACCGAGGGGGCCUCGCCUGGGGGAGGGGACACUUUGGGGACACCCAAAAAUAGGAUGGGGACACUUUGGGGACCCCCGAAAUUGGGAUGGGGACAUUUUGGGGACCCAAAAUUGGGGAUGGGACCCCAAAAUUUGAGAUGGGGACACUUUGGGACCCCAAAGUUGGGGACAUUGGGGACCCCAAAAUCGAGAUGGGGACCCCAAAAUUUGGGACAGGGACAUUUUGGGGACACUAAAAUUGGGGGCAGAGGACAUUGGGGACACCCAAAAUUGGGGAGAGGACCCCAAAAUUUGGGAUGGGGACACUUUGGGGACACCAAAAUUGCAAUGGGGACAUUUUGGGGACACCCAAUAUUGGGAUGGGGACACCUUGGGGACCCCAAAAUUUGGGAUGGGGACCCCAAAAUUGGGAUGCAGACAUUGGGGACCCCAAAAUUGGGGGGAGGGGACAUUGGGGACCCCCAAAAUUGGGGAGAGGAACCCAAAAUUUGGGAUGGGGACACUUUGGGGACACUUUGGGGACACCCAAAAUUGGGAUGGGGACAUUUUGGGGACACCUAAAAAUGGGGAGAGGACCCCAAAAUUUGGGAUGGGGACACUUUGGGGACACCCAAAAUUGGGGAGAAGACCCCAAAAUUUGGGACAGGACCCCAAAAUUGGGGGGAAAGGACAUUGGGGACACCCCAAAAUUGGGGAGAGGACCCCAAAAUUUGGGACAGGAACACUUUGGGGACACCCCAAAAUUGAGACGGGGACAUUUUGGGGACCCCAAAAUUGCAAUGGGGACACUUUGGGGAUCCCAAAAAUUGGGGGAGGGGACAUUGGGGACCCCAAAAUUGGGGAUAGGACCCCAAAACUGGGGGCAGGGGACAUUUUGGAGAGCCCAAAAUUUGGGACGGGGACACUUUGGGGACCCCAAACUUUGGGAUGGGGACAUUGGGGACCCCCAAAAUUGGGGACAGAUCCAAGCGCAGCCCCCCCAAACUCGCUGCCCCCCAAAUUUAUUUCUUGAACCGCUCCAGGGCCCCCUUGUUUGGGGGGGAUCCCCCCAAUUUUGGGGCUUUUCCCCCCAAUUUGGAGCCAGGACCCCCCUUCUGCCCUUUCCUCUUCAUUUUGGGUUUUUCCCCAUUUUUUUGCCCAAUUUUUGGGGUUUUUUUCCCCAAUUUUUUCCCAAUUUUUUUGGCGUUUCCUUCCCCUUUUUCCUGAUUUUUUGGGGUUUUUUCUCCAAUUUUUUCCACUGAUUUUUGGGGAUUUUCUCCCAAUUUUUUCCUCUUUUUUUGGGGGUUUUCUCCCAUUUUUUUUGCAGAUUUUUGGAGGUUUUCUCCCAGUUUGUUCCUGGAUUUUUGGGGGGUUUUUGCCUCUUUUUUUCUCUUUUUUUUGGGGGGUUCUUCCUGGUUUUUCUCCUUCUCCUUCUGCUCCAAACUCUGCCGGAUCUGGGCCUGCGGAAAAAUGGAAAAUUUGGGAUCCCUCCCAAAAAUCCCUGGAAUUUCCCAAAAACGAGAACACAAAAUUCCCAAAAAAUUCUCAAAAUAUCCCCCAAAAAUUCUUAAAAAAAUCCCAAAAAAUCUCAAAAAUUCCAAUGAAAAUUCCCCAAAAAUUCUUAAAAAAAAUCCCAAAAAAUCUCCCCAAAAAAUAAAAAAACCCUCAAAAAUUCUUUUAAAAAUCCC